rnacentral:snoRNA from 1 species
CUUUAUGAUGAAAACAUAUUUUUACACAGACCUGUACUGAGCUUUGCCAUGCAGAUAAACGAAUAUUGCCUUUUAUCUCUGACU